CAGAGCGGAGUUGGCCUCAGUACCCGAGCGUCCCAGACUCCAGCACGGUAAAGGUCUGCCGAGAUGCCCAUCAUGGUAGAUGACAUCAUGAAGCUUCUAUGCUCCAUUUGCCAGGAGAAGAAAAUGAAGGCGGCCGUCAAGCACUCUGGAAGGGGUGCCGUGGUCGUGGGGGCAAUGGCCUUCGUCGGCGGUUUGGUUGGUGGCCCACCAGGAUUAGCUGUCGGGGGGACUGUUGGGGGCCUGUUAGGUGCCUGGAUGACAAGUGGACAGUUUAAGCCCGUUCCUCAGAUCUUAAUGGAGCUGCCCCCCGCUGAACAGCAGAAACUUGUUAACGAAGCCACUGCCAUCAUCAGGAACUUGGACUGGACAGACGCUGUGCAGCUGACCGCUCUAGUCAUGAGCAACCAGGCCAUGCAGCAGAAGCUCUUGGCCAUGCUAACCACCUAUGUCACCAA
rnacentral:lncRNA from 1 species